rnacentral:rRNA from 1 species
UUAAGGGCGCACGGUGGAUGCCUUGGCACUAGAAGCCGAUGAAGGACGUUACUAACGACGAUAUGCUUUGGGGAGCUGUAAGUAAGCUUUGAUCCAGAGAUUUCCGAAUGGGGAAACCCAGCAUGAGUUAUGUCAUGUUAUCGAUAUGUGAAUACAUAGCAUAUCAGAAGGCACACCCGGAGAACUGAAACAUCUUAGUACCCGGAGGAAGAGAAAGAAAAUUCGAUUCCCUUAGUAGCGGCGAGCGAAACGGGAAGAGCCCAAACCAACAAGCUUGCUUGUUGGGGUUGUAGGACACUCUAUACGGAGUUACAAAGGACGACAUUAGACGAAUCAUCUGGAAAGAUGAAUCAAAGAAGGUAAUAAUCCUGUAGUCGAAAAUGUUGUCUCUCUUGAGUGGAUCCUGAGUACGACGGAGCACGUGAAAUUCCGUCGGAAUCUGGGAGGACCAUCUCCUAAGGCUAAAUACUCUCUAGUGACCGAUAGUGAACCAGUACCGUGAGGGAAAGGUGAAAAGCACCCCGGAAGGGGAGUGAAAUAGAACCUGAAACCGUGUGCUUACAAGUAGUCAGAGCCCGUUAAUGGGUGAUGGCGUGCCUUUUGUAGAAUGAACCGGCGAGUUACGAUUUGAUGCAAGGUUAAGCAGUAAAUGUGGAGCCGUAGCGAAAGCGAGUCUGAAUAGGGCGUUUAGUAUUUGGUCGUAGACCCGAAACCAGGUGAUCUACCCUUGGUCAGGUUGAAGUUCAGGUAACACUGAAUGGAGGACCGAACCGACUUACGUUGAAAAGUGAGCGGAUGAACUGAGGGUAGCGGAGAAAUUCCAAUCGAACCUGGAGAUAGCUGGUUCUCUCCGAAAUAGCUUUAGGGCUAGCCUCAAGUGAUGAUUAUUGGAGGUAGAGCACUGUUUGGACGAGGGGCCCCUCUCGGGUUACCGAAUUCAGACAAACUCCGAAUGCCAAUUAAUUUAACUUGGGAGUCAGAACAUGGGUGAUAAGGUCCGUGUUCGAAAGGGAAACAGCCCAGACCACCAGCUAAGGUCCCAAAAUAUAUGUUAAGUGGAAAAGGAUGUGGCGUUGCCCAGACAACUAGGAUGUUGGCUAAGAAGCAGCCAUCAUUUAAAGAGUGCGUAAUAGCUCACUAGUCGAGUGACACUGCGCCGAAAAUGUACCGGGGCUAAACAUAUUACCGAAGCUGUGGAUUGUCCUUUGGACAAUGGUAGGAGAGCGUUCUAAGGGCGUUGAAGCAUGAUCGUAAGGACAUGUGGAGCGCUUAGAAGUGAGAAUGCCGGUGUGAGUAGCGAAAGACGGGUGAGAAUCCCGUCCACCGAUUGACUAAGGUUUCCAGAGGAAGGCUCGUCCGCUCUGGGUUAGUCGGGUCCUAAGCUGAGGCCGACAGGCGUAGGCGAUGGAUAACAGGUUGAUAUUCCUGUACCACCUAUAAUCGUUUUAAUCGAUGGGGGGACGCAGUAGGAUAGGCGAAGCGUGCGAUUGGAUUGCACGUCUAAGCAGUAAGGCUGAGUAUUAGGCAAAUCCGGUACUCGUUAAGGCUGAGCUGUGAUGGGGAGAAGACAUUGUGUCUUCGAGUCGUUGAUUUCACACUGCCGAGAAAAGCCUCUAGAUAGAAAAUAGGUGCCCGUACCGCAAACCGACACAGGUAGUCAAGAUGAGAAUUCUAAGGUGAGCGAGCGAACUCUCGUUAAGGAACUCGGCAAAAUGACCCCGUAACUUCGGGAGAAGGGGUGCUCUUUAGGGUUAACGCCCAGAAGAGCCGCAGUGAAUAGGCCCAAGCGACUGUUUAUCAAAAACACAGGUCUCUGCUAAACCGUAAGGUGAUGUAUAGGGGCUGACGCCUGCCCGGUGCUGGAAGGUUAAGAGGAGUGGUUAGCUUCUGCGAAGCUACGAAUCGAAGCCCCAGUAAACGGCGGCCGUAACUAUAACGGUCCUAAGGUAGCGAAAUUCCUUGUCGGGUAAGUUCCGACCCGCACGAAAGGCGUAACGAUUUGGGCACUGUCUCAACGAGAGACUCGGUGAAAUCAUAGUACCUGUGAAGAUGCAGGUUACCCGCGACAGGACGGAAAGACCCCGUGGAGCUUUACUGUAGCCUGAUAUUGAAAUUCGGCACAGCUUGUACAGGAUAGGUAGGAGCCUUUGAAACGUGAGCGCUAGCUUACGUGGAGGCGCUGGUGGGAUACUACCCUAGCUGUGUUGGCUUUCUAACCCGCACCACUUAUCGUGGUGGGAGACAGUGUCAGGCGGGCAGUUUGACUGGGGCGGUCGCCUCCUAAAAGGUAACGGAGGCGCUCAAAGGUUCCCUCAGAAUGGUUGGAAAUCAUUCAUAGAGUGUAAAGGCAUAAGGGAGCUUGACUGCGAGACCUACAAGUCGAGCAGGGUCGAAAGACGGACUUAGUGAUCCGGUGGUUCCGCAUGGAAGGGCCAUCGCUCAACGGAUAAAAGCUACCCCGGGGAUAACAGGCUUAUCUCCCCCAAGAGUUCACAUCGACGGGGAGGUUUGGCACCUCGAUGUCGGCUCAUCGCAUCCUGGGGCUGUAGUCGGUCCCAAGGGUUGGGCUGUUCGCCCAUUAAAGCGGUACGCGAGCUGGGUUCAGAACGUCGUGAGACAGUUCGGUCCCUAUCCGUCGUGGGCGUAGGAAAUUUGAGAGGAGCUGUCCUUAGUACGAGAGGACCGGGAUGGACAUACCUCUGGUGUACCAGUUGUCGUGCCAACGGCAUAGCUGGGUAGCUAUGUGUGGACGGGAUAAGUGCUGAAAGCAUCUAAGCAUGAAGCCCCCCUCAAGAUGAGAUUUCCCAACUUCGGUUAUAAGAUCCCUCAAAGAUGAUGAGGUUAAUAGGUUCGAGGUGGAAGCAUGGUGACAUGUGGAGCUGACGAAUACUAAUCGAUCGAAGACUUAAUC